rnacentral:misc_RNA from 1 species
AACGCACAUUGCGCCCGCCAGUAUUCUGGCGGGCAUGCCUGUCCGAGCGUCAUUUCAACCCUCAAGCACAGCUUGGUGUUGGGGUAUUGCGGUCUGCUGCAAACCCUGAAAAACAUUGGCGGGCUCGCUAUAACUCCGAGCGUAGUAGUAUAUCUCGCUAGGGACGUUAGGCGGGUGCCGGCCGUUAAACCCCCCAUUCUUUAAGGUUGACCUCGGAUCAGGUAGGAAUACCCGCUGAACUUAA